rnacentral:rRNA from 1 species
UACGUAGGGGGCGAGCGUUAUCCGGAAUUACUGGGUGUAAAGGGAGCGUAGACGGCGAGGUAAGCCUGAAGUGGAAGCCCGCGGCCCAACCGCGGAACUGCUUUGGGAACUGUUUUGCUGGAGUAUGGGAGGGGUAAGCGGAAUUCCUGGUGUAGCGGUGAAAUGCGUAGAUAUAUGGAAGAACACCAGUGGCGAAAGCGGCUCUCUGGUCUGUAACUGACGCUGAGGUUCGAAAGCGUGGGUAGCAAACAGG